UGAUGGGAGGGAGGAAUAACAAAAACUGAAAACUGAAAUCUAUUUAAAAUUAUAUUUAUUUUCACUUUCAAGAUUUUGUUUUCCCUUUUGUUACUCCUUCCUUUCAUCUCUCGCUCAACUCAUCCUCACUCUCAUUUUCCUCUAUACUCAGCAUUAAAAAAAAAAAAAAAAAAUUAAAAUGGUUAUCAAACGGCCACAUUAAUUAAUUAGUUUAGGUUUUCAUAUGGUUAUGCUGCUGACAUCAAUAUCUCUAUCUAUACAUAAUAACAAGCUAAUAUUGAAAUCUAAUAUAAUGUUGCUAUAUAUUAAUGGAAUCAGGUCCUAGUUGCCCUCUUGAGGUUGUGGUGAAAUACCCAGACGGAGUUCGUAAGGUUGUUCAGAUUUUCACAAAACUGAAUUUCCAAAGGAUAACAAGGAUGCUGAUCCUGAGGUACCUGACUGCAACGCAUGGGUUGAGCUUGCCGUUGAGGCAACGCUUUUUGAGGGGAGUGAUAGUUAUUAUAGUGAAUAUUUCCGCAAAGCCUUAAUGAAAUAUUGUGGUGGUAUUGAGAUAGACUUUGGCAUGUCAAAGAAAGGUUCGACUUCUACUAGUAAGGUUCAAGAUUAGUUCAAGAUCCACAACUAAAACUAGAUCGAAGUCUGACACUUGUGAUCAGUGAGAGAGAAAAGAGAUUUGAUAGGAAUUAUUUCUGUGUACUGUACUAGCUGAAAUUUUCAGGCUGCGUAUUUAAUAUCCCAACCCAUCGUUUAUAUGGUUUGCGCAUGUAGCCUCUUGUUA